AUACGGAGGGUGCAAGCGUUAUUCGGAAUCACUGGGCGUAAAGGACGCGUAGGCGGGUUGGCAAGUCAGAUGUGAAAUCCUACAGCUUAACUGUAGAACUGCAUUUGAAACUGCUUACCUAGAGUAUGGGAGGGGGAGAUGGAAUUAGUGGUGUAGGGGUAAAAUCCGUAGAUAUCACUAGGAAUACCGAAAGCGAAGGCGAUCUCCUGGAACAUAACUGACGCUAAGGCGUGAAAGCGUGGGGAGCAAACAGGAUUAGAAACCCUAGUAGUCC
rnacentral:rRNA from 1 species